rfam:Microgenomates (Gottesmanbacteria) bacterium GW2011_GWA2_47_9 TY16_C0014, whole genome shotgun sequence.
GGAGGCGUGCAAGAGUGGUUUAAUUGGCCGGUCCCGAAAACCGAGCGAGCCGAAAGGCUCACAGAGGUUCAAAUCCUCUCGCCUCCG